GGCAAGAUGGCCGAGCGGUCUAAGGCGCCAGACUCAAGCUUGAGUUUCGGAGUGGAUCACCACACCGAGCAUUCUGGUCUCGCAAGAGGCGGGGGUUCGAAUCCCCCUCUUGUCA
rfam:Pyronema omphalodes CBS 100304, CBS100304, WGS project CATG01000000 data, contig: Pcon_v1_contig117